rnacentral:rRNA from 1 species
AUUGAACGCUGGCGGCAGGCUUAACACAUGCAAGUCGAGCGAGCGGCGGACAGGUGAGUAAUGUCUGGGAAACUGCCUGAUGGAGGGGGAUAACUACUGGAAACGGUAGCUAAUACCGCAUACCAUCAGAUGUGCCCAUAUGGGAUGAGCUAGUAGGUGGGGGAAUGGCUCACCUAGGCGACGAUCCCUAGCUGGUCGGAGAGGAUGACCAGACACACUGGAACGGAGACACGGUCCAGACUCCUCCGGGAGGCAGCAGUGGGGAAUAUUGCACAAUGGGCGCAAGCCUGAUACAGCCAUGCCGGGUGUGUGAAGAAGGCCUUCGGGUUGUAAAGCACGUUCAGCGAGGAGGCGUUACUCGCAGAAGAAGCACCGGCUAACUCCGUGCCAGCAGCCGCGGUAAUUC